rnacentral:ncRNA from 2 species
AUUGGUCUUCGGGGCAGGGUGAAAUUCCCGACCGGCGGUGAUUCACGAUCGUUGUGAUUAGUCCGUGAGCUGCUUAAAUGUUUAAGUGGUUGAUCUGGUGAAAUUCCAGAGCCGACAGUAAAGUCUGGAUGGGAGAAGAUUGCA